rnacentral:sRNA from 1 species
CCCUAGCCCUGAUAGAAGCGGCAUCCUUUUUUGCCUCGGAUUUUCAUUCUUCCGAAGACCGAUGCUGUGGCAAAAAAGAUAUAGCGGACAGCAGGAAAUAGC